GACAGAGCACGUUUCAGAAACACACAGAGAGAGAGAAAGAGAAAAGGGGUCUCGACGGAGCCGCGGAGGCUUCGAUUCAGGCGCCGGUGGGUUCGAUUCAAGCACCGGAGGUUCCAUUCAAGCGAUGAAUGGUUCGAUUCAAGCCACAGAUGGUUCAAUUCAAGCCACAGAUGGUUUGAUUCAGAGGCCGGAUGGUUCAAUUUAGGCGAUAUACGCAGUAUGCCUCUCUCUCCGAUUUAUUUUUUAUUUUUUAUAAUUAUUUUUGGGUGAUUGUUUUUUUUGGCUGUGGAAGGGGGAUAAGGAGGGGUAAAAUGGUUCGAAAUAUCCCUAAUACCACUGGACAACUUUUGGGGAGGGGGAGGGCUGCCAAAAAGUUAUCCGGGAGCUGGGGGAAAGAGAAGCAGAGGGAAAAGUUGUAUAGAGAAAGUAAGGGGGAGUUAUCAGGAGUUAUAUCCGAUAGCCAAACGGGUUGAUAGGAAAUAUAAUAUGACACGUUUAAUUAAAU
rnacentral:lncRNA from 1 species